UGCAUUUGCAACCUGAGCUCAGACGUGAUUACCCGCUGAACUUAAGCAUAUCAUUUAGCGGAGGAAAAGAAACUAACUAGGAUUCCCUUAGUAACGG
rnacentral:rRNA from 1 species